rnacentral:tRNA from 1 species
UUAGGUGAAACCAAAAAGAGGUAUGUCACUGUUAAUGGCAAAAAUGAAUAAUAACUAAUUCCACCUAAA